AUUAGCUCAAGUGGUAGAGCGCUUGCUUAGCAUGCAAGAGGUAGUGGGAUCGAUGCCCACAUUCUCCAAGCUUUAUUAUUUAGACAUCGUGUCUCCAAACACUCAGGUCUCCAAACCCAAGUUAGUGUCUGAGAACGGGAUGCUGCUUUGGUUCAAGACGUAGGAGCAGCAAUAAUAGAGGGCGGGUGAUGGCUCCCUCUUGGCAUUCAGUAUAGUGUAGAUGUACUGUGUAAUUAAUUUUCUGUUUCUUCGAGGAGCUGUGAAACCAAGGGACAUAUACAACUGCUCUCUUCUCCCUGUUUCUACCUGCAGCUUUGUCCUAAAUGUGAGACAAUUAUGAAAAGUGCAGGGCAGAGCCACUUGGGUAAAUACAGCCCCAGCUUUCUGCUCAGGGGACAGAGUUUGAGGCACUGCAGGGGAACCAGCCAAAGUAUGAGAUCCAUAUGUUGACAGUGACAGAGUAUAAAGUUCAAAAAAAUCAAAAUAUUUAAAGAUUUAUCAUGGGUCUUGAUGACAUGAUGGAACCUCUCUACUCUCUGGACUUAUUAUGUGUGGUAAUAAAUCUACUUUUUUUUAAAGCCA
rnacentral:lncRNA from 1 species